rnacentral:rRNA from 1 species
CUACGGGUCGCUCCAGUGAGGAAUAUUGCACAAUGGGGGGAACCCUGAUGCAGCAACGCCGCGUGGAGGAUGACGCAUUUCGGUGUGUAAACUCCUUUUAUAUGUCAAGAAAAUGGCGGUAGCAUAUGAAUAAGCACCGGCUAACUCCGUGCCAGCAGCCGCGGUAAUACGGAGGGUGCAAGCGUUACUCGGAAUCACUGGGCGUAAAGGACGCGUAGGCGGGUUGGAAAGUCAGGUGUGAAAUCCUACAGCUUAACUGUAGAACUGCACUUGAAACUUCUAAUCUAGAGUAUGGGAGGGGGAGAUGGAAUUAGGGGUGUAGGGGUAAAAUCCGUAGAUAUCACUAGGAAUACCUAAAGCGAAGGCGAUCUCCUGGAACAUUACUGACGCUAAGGCGUGAAAGCGUGGGGAGCAAACAGGAUUAGAUACCCCCGUAGUC